rnacentral:pre_miRNA from 1 species
AGUGGGAUAGCUGGGCAAAUGGUGGUUCUGUUCUAAGUUUUCCAAGGAAUCUCCAUACUGCUUUCCAUAAUGGUUGCACCAAUUUGCAAUCCCAACAGCAAU